GUGCCAGCAGCCGCGGUAAUACGUAGGGGGCGAGCGUUGUCCGGAAUUAUUGGGCGUAAAGAGCUCGUAGGCGGUCCUUUAAGUCUGAUGUGAAAUCUCAGGGCUCAACCCUGAAACUGCAUCAGAUACUGGGGGACUUGAGGUAGGUAGGGGAAGGUGGAAUUCCUGGUGUAGCGGUGAAAUGCGCAGAUAUCAGGAGGAACACCCGUGGCGAAGGCGGCCUUCUGGGCCUUACCUGACGCUGAGGAGCGAAAGCGUGGGGAGCGAACAGGAUUAGAAACCCUAGUAGUCC
rnacentral:rRNA from 1 species